AUUGAACGCUGGCGGCAGGCCUAACACAUGCAAGUCGAGCGGCUGAAGGGAGCUUGCUCCUGGAUUCAGCGGCGGACGGGCGAGUAAUGCCUAGGAAUCUGCCUGGUAGUGGGGGAUAACGUCCGGAAACGGGCGCUAAUACCGCAUACGUCCAGAGGGAGAAAGUGGGGGAUCUUCGGACCUCACGCUAUCAGAUGAGCCUAGGUCGGAUUAGCUAGUUGGUGGGGUAAAGGCCUACCAAGGCGACGAUCCGUAACUGGUCUGAGAGGAUGAUCAGUCACACUGGAACUGAGACACGGUCCAGACUCCUACGGGAGGCAGCAGUGGGGAAUAUUGGACAAUGGGCGAAAGCCUGAUCCAGCCAUGCCGCGUGUGUGAAGAAGGUCUUCGGAUUGUAAAGCACUUUAAGUUGGGAGGAAGAGCAGUAAGUUAAUACCUUGCUGUUUUGACGGUACCAACAGAAUAAGCACCGGCUAACUUCGUG
rnacentral:rRNA from 1 species